CAGUCGCCGCGGGAAUACGUAGGGUGCGAGCGUUAAUCGGAAUCACUGGGCGUAAAGCGUGCGCAGGCGGUUAUAUAAGACAGAUGUGAAAUCCCCGGGCUCAACCUGGGACCUGCAUUUGUGACUGUAUAGCUAGAGUACGGUAGAGGGGGAUGGAAUUCCGCGUGUAGCAGUGAAAUGCGUAGAUAUGCGGAGGAACACCGAUGGCGAAGGCAAUCCCCUGGACCUGUACUGACGCUCAUGCACGAAAGCGUGGGGAGCAAACAGGAUUAGAGACCCCAGUAGUCCCUGUCUCUUAUAC
rnacentral:rRNA from 1 species